AGUGAUCGACUCAACUCUUGUCGUCCCCGUCGCUGCUCAACAAAAAGGUACAAGUAAAGUGAAGUAUGUGGCGCGAAACUUAAAGAGGAAGUAAAGAAUCGGAUGCUUAAAGCCUUGGAGAGUUGGAGCUUUGGAUGAAGAACUAGAAAAGCAUGGAAGACCUAUUCCCUUCAGACGAGCGGACAAAUGGAAUAGGAUUGCCGAAUGAUUUGGGCCCAUGGCCGAAAAAGCUAAA